AGAGAUGUGUGAUGACGCAUAUCAAUAAGCGGAGGAAAAGAAACUAACAAGGAUUCCCUUAGUAACGGCGAGUGAAGCGGGAAGAGCUCAAAUUUGAAAUCUUCAAGGUUCUACCUUGACGAAUUGUAGUUUAAUAGAAGUGUUUUCUGUUAGUAGAGGUGGCUAAAAGUUCUUUGGAAUAGGACAUCAUAGAGGGUGAGAAUCCCGUAUUUGGUCAUUCCUCCUAGCGUUGUGAUACACUUUCAACGAGUCGGAUUGUUUGGGAAUGCAGUCCAAAGUGGGUGGUAAAUUUCAUCUAAAGCUAAAUAUUGGCGAGAGACCGAUAGCGAACAAGUACCGUGAGGGAAAGAUGAAAAGAACUUUGAAAAGAGAGUUAAACAGUACGUGAAAUUGUCAAAAGGGAAGCGUUUGACACCAGUGUUGUUUUUCCGAAAAUCAAUUACGAAUGUUUUAUUUUUGAGGAGUUAUGACUUCAUCGGCUUGCUCCUUUCUUUAUGAAACUUUCUUAAUGCACUUUUCGGUUAACAAGUCAACAUCAAUUUCUUUUGUUGUAAAAGGGUAUGAGGAAGGUGGCUUUCUUUUCGGAGAAAGUGUUUAUAGCCUUGUGCUUCUGCAAUCGGAGAGAUUGAGGUCUGCAGCGUAGAUCCUUCGGGGUUAGAUACAGUUUGUGCUAAGUUAUAGCUUUUCAUAGACAACUUGUUGACUUAUGUUUAGUCUUGUAGCUUACUCGCUUAUGCUAUUUUACCUACGCUUAGGAUGUUGAGUCGUAGAGCACGCAG
rnacentral:rRNA from 1 species